GCCUGGGUGGCUCAGUCGGUUAAGCGUCUGACUUCAGCUCAGGUCACGAUCUCGCGGUCCGCGAGUUCGAGCCCCGCGUCAGGCU
rnacentral:tRNA from 1 species